UGGGACCAAGGUUAAGAAUAAGACCCUCACUCGAAGCUGCAAGAACCGCAGACGGACACAAUGCUCAUAUUCUUUAUGAAGUUGCUGAUGAAACCGAAAGUGGAAGUGAAGCUGUCUUCACGCACGCUUCUUCGAAUGUCCCCGACCGACAGGAAAACAAAGGUGACACCGUGGACCUUAUUCGCCCAGAGCUUCUAAUCUGUGUAGACAGCACAUUUGCCAGCCAAUUUCCAGAUCACAAGGCACUCCUUCGCUAU